rnacentral:pre_miRNA from 1 species
UGUUAAAAUUUCAUCCAUUUGUACUGUUUAAAACUGGUGUGACUGACAGAAUAUCCAAAAAAAUGUCAAGUGUAUCUUACAUUGAUGUAUAAGAACUAUUUUUUAAGAGUAGAAGUGGAUGAAAUUUUUAACA